GUUCUUUGUUUUAUUUCAGCCGAUACGGCGAGAGAGUUGGAGCGUUUGGGCGAGUACAGAGGAAAGAAGGCAGAGGAUAUUGUUGGCUGGGCAAAGACGGAGACAAGGGUUUGGCAGAAACAGACACCGGGCUGAGUAUAUUGGAAUGUCUACUUAACUGUGAAAUGCUCCAUGGACAUGUGUAACAAAUUCUGAGUGGUUGAAAACAGGAAGACUCACCGGAAGUAUCGCCGAAGGAGGCCUUUUCGACAGGGCACGUGGCAGCAGGAGAAGUAUCCAGGAGCUGGAAAGAAGAGGGAAAAGAGACCUCGUGUAGUAACGGUGUGAGUACCCUAAACCAUCGUACAGCAGUAUAAUCAUCUAGAGUGAACCAUCUGUGAGCGUUUUGUGAUUUGUGGCAUAGUAUGUGAGCGGCCCCACCGUGGAGGAGGAUUGUGGGUGAGCCGGGACCAGUGAGUGAGAGAGGAUGUUGGGCUGUUGUGGCGGCAACGUUUAAAUCUGAAUAUUCGUGGCAUCAGUGUCUUCACGACUCCC
ensembl:lncRNA